UAUAUUUUAGUAUAUGAUGUACAGGAAUUUUUGAUGUUUCAGGCAAUAGUUUAAUUCUAUUAAAUAUAA
rnacentral:tRNA from 1 species